UACGUAGGGGGCAAGCGUUAUCCGGAUUUACUGGGUGUAAAGGGAGCGUAGGCGGCGGAGCAAGUCAGAAGUGAAAGCCCGGGGCUCAACCCCGGGACGACUUUUGAAACUGCCCUGCUUGAUUUCAGGAGAGGUAAGCGGAAUUCCUAGUGUAGCGGUGAAAUGCGUAGAUAUUAGGAGGAACACCAGUGGCGAAGGCGGCUUACUGGACUGACAAUGACGCUGAGGCUCGAAAGCGUGGGGAGCAAACAGG
rnacentral:rRNA from 1 species